UCCCUACGGGACGCAGCAGUGAGGAAUAUUGGUCAAUGGGCGGAAGCCUGAACCAGCCAAGUCGCGUGAGGGCUUCCGGCCCUGCGGGUCGUCCCCCUCUUUUGCCGGGGCGACGAGGUCCGGACGUGUCCGGGCCGGGAGAGUACCCGGAGAAAAAGCAUCGGCUAACUCCGUGCCAGCAGCCGCGGUAAUACGGAGGAUGCGAGCGUUAUCCGGAUUUAUUGGGUUUAAAGGGU
rnacentral:rRNA from 1 species